UGCCCAGCAACUCCUAUCCCUACCUCCGCGUAGCACCGGCCGGGUGAUCGGGUAACCAACCCCGAUGGGAACUUUGGUCAUAGGCUGACAGAGAAAG
rnacentral:ribozyme from 1 species